rnacentral:rRNA from 1 species
UACGAGAGGCCCAAACCGUUAUUCGGAAUUACUGGGCGUAAAGGGCUCGUAGGCGGCCAACUAAGUCAGACGUGAAAUCCCUGGGCUCAACCCAGGAACUGCGUCCGAUACUGGUUGGCUUGAAUCCGGGAGAGGGAUGUGGAAUUCCAGGUGUAGCGGUGAAAUGCGUAGAUAUCUGGAGGAACACCGGUGGCGAAGGCGACAUCCUGGACCGGUAUUGACGCUGAGGCGCGAAAGCCAGGGGAGCAAACGGG